rnacentral:snoRNA from 1 species
UUUGAGUGUGGCGGCAGCGAUGUGCCACUGGAGCGAGAGUGCGCUCCGUGAGAGUGACUAUGGUUCACGGUGCUCGAUGCGACGGUGACAUUGUGUGAAAGGAGCGUGGGUGUGUUCCGUUGUAGGUGUUGGAGAGUUGGAGGGGAUAGGAUGGUGGUGCGGCGUAGCUGCGGUGAGAAUUCGGAUGGUACGGCGCAGUUUCUGUUGCCUGCGAGGAGCAGGCCUCAUCGCUGUCGUUAGCGUUUCUUGUCUUACUCUUGCCGUCCUUCCCAAUGCCUGAAGC